AAUCAGAUUAAUCAGUUUUCAGCCUUCAUUCAUAUUGAAAUGUUGAAAUCUUAUAGAGAUACGCUUCAUGUACUUAUCAACAUACAGUUUAAAGGCUUGCAUUAGAGUGCAUUGGUGCACACUUGGGCAUCUUUUAUUUAACAUGGUUAUACCACUGUGAAUUUUUCUAUAUAAAUAUGCUCAAGAGUCUAUCAUAUGUGUGACAUCCAGCUAAAAAUCGAAUAUAUAUAUAUUUAAAUCAGUAACUUUGCAAAUUUAAAGGAAAUGUUUUUGGACAACAAAUGAGUGGCGUUUUAAACAGGGUUUGAAUAAUCAGCACUGACAGACAGGGACAUUUAUGAAGCGCAGGCUAUAACAGACAUAUUUACCGUGUGAAAGGACCGCGGAUGUCUUGGAGCAGAGAAACAUGCUGUAUUGUUGCUUUUCUCUUAUGCAUAAGCAACGCACGCCUGUCAUAAACGCUCUGUAGCAAAGUCGGCUCCAACGCAUGUCCCGGCAUCAACUGGCCUUUCUGCCGGCUGGCUGGUCCCUCAGCUUUCAUGCUGGGAUCUGCAUCUCCACUGGGGCACGGCAAAACUUGUGAGUCCUAUGCUUCUUGACCGCUCGCUGAGAAUUAACAAUUAAAGAAAGUGAUCCAACACGAAAAUCAAAUCAAACAGCGCAGUCGGAAUUGUCCACACGCUCAGUUUCACAAAUAAACAAACAAACAAAAAAAAAAACUUGCACCAGCCAUACUGUCCAUAGACACAGGAGGGAAAACUGAAAACCUCCAAGAAACUGAAACUGUAAUAAAUUAAUCACGCUAAAGCCGCCUCUACAUCAUUUCGGAAAUGUCCAGAGCCUUUAUACACAGCAUAUGCCAAGCAGACUCAGUGCGAGAUAAAUAAUAUGUAGCCUUAGAAUUUACAUCUACAGUUUAAAGAGACACACGGUGCUUUCGCUAUUGUCUCUAAACAUUGGGAUCCAUAAACAACAACAACAACAACAACAACAAAACAGUUUUAUCAACAGAGGACCCAUGAAACGAGCAAAGCUGACAGUUCUGAAGAGCACAGUGCACGCUCUUAUUUCACAAGUUGGCCUACAUUUUCCAGAAAGACCACACAGUUAAAACCUGUAAAAAAUACUGAAUUAAGGGGAAAAAAAAGUUUCACACUAUGUUUCACCAAAUUAAAAACAAAUCCCGCAAAGCUGCUUCUAACACAAACAUUUAUCUUUCAAAUCAGUGUCUAAAAAGCACCAUUGAAAAUAUGUGAUCCUGCAAUUACAAAAGUAACUCCUGUUUGUACAAAUUCACACUGAAAAUCAAAAUGCAUACAGCGGUUGAUAAACAAGAUUAAAAUAAUGUAUUGCACAUCUAUGUUUUGAAGAUGGCAUCAAAAGUCAAUGCAUAUUUUGUCUAAACAAUUUGAAAUUUAGACGGUCAAAUACACAAACUAACGUGCGGGUGUCAGGCUCAAGGAAGGAGUUCGCUGGCCCUUAUCAACCUUUAUCUUUUUUCCCCCACCCUCAAAAACAGACAGCAGUUCAUCUCCCC
ensembl:lncRNA